UGCAGUCGACGGUGAAGAGGAGCUUGCUCCUUGGAUCAGUGGCGAACGGGUGAGUAACACGUGAGCAAUCUGCCCUUGACUCUGGGAUAACUGCGGGAAACUGUAGCUAAUACCGGAUAUUACCUUGGAAGGCAUCUUCUGGGGUGGAAAGAAUUUUGGUCAAGGAUGAGCUCGCGGCCUAUCAGCUAGUUGGUGAGGUAAUGGCUCACCAAGGCGACGACGGGUAGCCGGCCUGAGAGGGUGACCGGCCACACUGGGACUGAGACACGGCCCAGACUCCUACGGGAGGCAGCAGUGGGGAAUAUUGCACAAUGGGCGCAAGCCUGAUGCAGCAACGCCGCGUGAGGGACGACGGCCUUCGGGUUGUAAACCUCUUUUAGUAGGGAAGAAGCGACUGGGUUUUCCUGGGAGUGACGGUACCUGCAGAAAAAGCACCGGCUAACUACGUGCCAGCAGCCGCGGUAAUACAUAGGGUGCAAGCGUUGUCCGGAAUUAUUGGGCGUAAAGAGCUCGUAGGCGGUUUGUCGCGUCUGCUGUGAAAACCCGAGGCUCAACCUCGGGCCUGCAGUGGGUACGGGCAGACUAGAGUGCGGUAGGGGAGAUUGGAAUUCCUGGUGUAGCGGUGGAAUGCGCAGAUAUCAGGAGGAACACCAAUGGCGAAGGCAGAUCUCUGGGCCGUAACUGACGCUGAGGAGCGAAAGCAUGGGGA
rnacentral:rRNA from 1 species